GGCCUCCUUCGCACUUUCGAGUGCGCGUUUGCUGCCCGCCGCAGCCCGGGCGUUGAAGGUAGUAAAGCGGCCACCCGGCCGCAUCAUGGUGACCCCCUGUCCCACCAGCCCCUCGAGCCCCGCCGCCCGAGCGGGGAGGCGGGACAACGACCAGAACCUUCGCGCCCCGGUGAAGAAGAGCAGGCGUCCGCGCCUCCGGAGGAAGCAGCCGCUGCAUCCCCUGAACCCGUGCCCGCUCCCGGGAGACUCCGGCAUUUGCGACCUGUUCGAGUCCCCCAGCUCCGGCUCAGACGGCGCAGAGAGCCCCUCUGCGGCGCGGGGUGGUAGCCCCCUGCCCGGCCCGGCCCAGCCCGUGGCGCAGCUAGAUCUACAGACCUUCCGCGACUACGGCCAGAGCUGCUACGCCUUCCGCAAGGCGCAGGAGAGCCACUUCCACCCGCGGGAGGCGCUGGCACGGCAGCCACAAGUGAGGUGCUGGUAGAGCCAGCUCCACGCCGCCGCUCUUCCUCUCCUCCCAGGCUCUCUCCUCUCCUGCCGGCUCGGCCCUCCGAGCGCCCGGGCCCGCGACAGCCCAGGUCCCGCCCCGAGUCGAAGCACAAGGGGCCGUGGAGGGGCGUCACCGGCCUCAUUUUACAGAUGGAGAAAAGUGGGGCGUAGACGGCUUGAGGGACUUGCCCCGUCCCAAGCUGGCUACUGGGGCACGGUAGAGAGGAAUUCGUUUCCGGGUUGAGUCUGGACUCCUACCGAACUCGGGCAAGUUAUUUAACACCCCUGAGCUUCUUUCUUCAUCUGCAAAAUGGAACCCCUCCCCUUCCUUUGAAUUGCUGAGCCCAUUACGCGAGGUGACGGCGGAAUCCCGCUGUAAGCUGCUCAGCUGGCUGAUCCCGGUGCACCGCCAAUUCGGCCUCUCCUUCGAGUCGCUGUGCCUGACGGUGAACACUCUGGACCGCUUCCUCACCACCACGCCGGUGGCUGCAGACUGCUUCCAGCUGCUUGGGGUCACCUCCUUGCUCAUCGCUUGCAAACAGGUGGAGGUGCACCCGCCGCGCGUGAAGCAGCUUCUGGCCCUCUGCUGCGGCGCCUUCUCCCGGCAGCAGCUCUGCAACCUCGAGUGCAUCGUGCUGCACAAGCUGCACUUCACCCUGGGUGCGCCCACCAUUAGCUUCUUCCUGGAGCAUUUCACGCACGCUCGCGUGGAGGCGGGGCAGGCUGAGGCCUCCGAAGCUCUGGAAGCGCAAGCCCUGGCGCGGGGGGUGGCAGAGCUGAGUCUGGCCGACUAUGCCUUCACCAGCUACUCCCCUUCCCUCCUGGCGAUCUGCUGCCUGGCGCUGGCGGACCGCAUGCUGCGGGUCUCGCGGCCCGUGGACUUGCGACUGGGAGACCACCCGGAGGCGGCGCUGGAGGACUGUAUGGGCAAGUUGCAGCUGCUGGUGGCCAUAAACAGUACUUCCUUGACUCACAUGCUGCCCGUUCAGAUCUGCGAGAAGUGCAGCCUGCCCCCGAGCUCGAAAUAAAACAGAUCCUUCGUUUCCUUUUAGUCCCUGGCCCGGCUGCUGGACCUCUCCCGUAGCCUCAGAAGAGUGCAGUACUGGUCCACAGAGAAGGCUUCAGGACCUGCUUGGUCAGCUGCAGGUUGUAAAUAGUGUACGAUACUAGCAUCUGGUAUUUUAUUUAUUUUGCAGCGAGCACAUGAGGAAGCUGAGUCUUUCACCAAUAAACAGUUGUGGUUUGUCUAAA